rnacentral:ncRNA from 1 species
GUUGAUAGAGGCGCGACGCGAAUCAGUAUCGGCUCGAGGGGACACCCUGGGACAGCUCGAAAAAGGUCAAGUCGCCGAAACGAUGAUUCCGGUAGGGAUCACCAGUUGGGCAUGGAAAGAAUAUUUCCAUGACUCCUGCUUCUGAAAACGAAGUGGAGGAGCUA